GCGUCUAACGUUCCAACGCAGCCGUGUAGCUCUACGCUCCCGCGAUAACAAAACCACGCGCAAUUGUGAAAGUGUUGCUUAUAAAACGCGAUUUCACGAGUGAGAGUACUUUGCCGCGCCGACGGCCGCCGAAUACCAACUUCGCAACAGUUAAGUGGGGAAGGAUUAUCUCGUGAAUUUUAGAGAGGAGAGGGUUCAAUGGAAGCGAGGUUCGUGACCUGCCGGAGUUUCCAGCAGAUCAAGCCGCCCGAAAAGAGCCUCGCGCCGCCACCGACGGUGAAGGGGCUCUUGUCACGUUUCGGGAGCCAAGCCCAGGCUUUGUUCGCACCCAAGAAACCCCGUUUCGGAUCUUCAGUGGCUAUUCACAAACUCCGCGAAACCAAGUGGUUCAAACAUGAAGAACAGAACAUAUUGUGUGCUGUCCUCGAGUCAGGAUUCGUACUCGAAGUCAGGGCGGAGGACCCGCUGCCUCCAGACUCUACCUUGUCACCAGACUACCAUAUGUAUGCCAUUGCGAUGUGGAAGAAGGGUAAAGAAAAAACAAAGAACCCGGAACAGAUAGAAGUAUACACAGUGCAGCAAAAAGGUGUACGGAAACGAGUAGUCAAGACUACACUGGGUGCCUUUUGGAAAAAGGAUUCUGUGAUUCGCAUCAACAACGUUGAUGACAAACAGGAAACGCCCAACAAUGAAAAGGACAUCAGAGCUAAGCUGGAUAUGGCAACAAAGUCAAGGUUCGAGAGGAACUGGCAUAAUACACUGCAUUUCGUCCACUGGUGUCGUUACGGAGAAACGCCCCAGGAAGCUCGCAUGAGACAGAUCAGCUUAACGACGUCGAAAACACCCAUGAUUAUCAUCUUUUGAUGGUAAUCGUUGAGGCGCUUUGGACAAUUACAACUGGCGACAAAGAUACCGAUAAGCGAGUCGCUCAAGUGGGGCAACAUCGGCAUGAACAUGGGCGUAAUGCUCGUCAGUCAAAGUCAGAACAAUGGCAGAGAAAAAGCUAAAUCAGUCUGAGUACAACCUGCCAGCAACAAUGCUGGCCAUUACACUUGCUACGCGUGCUUCUGGCCACCACGGCCAAAGAACAUCGCCAGCGUCUAAUUUGAAUUCGAAUUACGCUUCGGAAAAGAUAUUCCUUUUUUGAUUCUCAUUUUUUUGUCUCCUCUCUUGUGACAGUAUUCUCUUCGUCUCUCUUUGAUUUGCUCCACUUAUAGCCUCUUCUAUUCGAUUUUUAAAUGUGAAAAUUUAAAUCUAAAACAUUCCUGAUAAGAUAAAAGACGCCCCCUAGGCUUGUACUUUAAAAUCUUCGAUAUAAAGUUCUAAUCUAUUGAUAUUACAAUGUUUAUCAUACUUUAAUCUUAACAUAAGCGAUAAUAGUUAAGAGGAAAUCAUUAUAUGGUCUGAGAGUGACAACCCUAGUCUUAUGAGUAUUUAUAUGGUGAUUUUCUGAUUAAGAAGACUGUUUUGAUUUUCUAUGAAAAUUAUUGUUGUGUAAACGAGUGACUAUGAAAAUUGCACAAUUGACAAAAGUACAUUUUCUGAGAAAUUUGCCUUGUCAACAUCAUCAACAUCAUUUGAACAUCACUGUUUUUUUUGUGGUCGAAAAAAAGAGUUUUAAAAAAGUAUUGAAAUGUUGUUUAAAGUAUUUUUAAUUUAUAAAGUAUACUUAAUGCGAGCUAAUAUUAUGAGACAAUCAGAUGUUGACUGUUGUGAGAGUAUUCUACUAUUAAAUUAAUGUUCUAUUUAUAACGAAGCAUUUUUAUAAAUAAAUGAUUACUUGAUUAA